UACGGAGGGGGCUAGCGUUGUUCGGAAUUACUGGGCGUAAAGCGUGCGUAGGCGGUUCGUUAAGUCUGUUGUGAAAGCCCCGGGCUCAACCUGGGAAUGGCAAUGGAUACUGGCGAGCUAGAGUGUGUCAGAGGAUGGUGGAAUUCCCGGUGUAGCGGUGAAAUGCGUAGAGAUCGGGAGGAACAUCAGUGGCGAAGGCGGCCAUCUGGGACAACACUGACGCUGAGGCACGAAAGCGUGGGGAGCAAACAGG
rnacentral:rRNA from 1 species